GGAAGAGGAGAAGGGAAAGAAGGGGCUGCGGCUGCGACGGUGACAACUGCAGCUGGAAGAGAAGAAGGAGAGGAAGAAAAGAAGGUGAGGAAGAAGAGAGGAAGGAAGAAGGGAAGGAGAGGAAGACGAGAAGGGGAAGAAGGGGCUGCGGCUACGGCGAUGGCAGCUGCAGUUGGAAGAGAAGAAGGAGAGGAAGAUGAGCAGGGGAGGAAGAAGAGGCUGUGGCUGG
rnacentral:lncRNA from 1 species